CCCGCACAAGCGGAGGAACAUGUGGUUUAAUUCGAUGAUACGCGAGGAACCUUACCUGGGCUUAAAUGGGAGUGACAGCUGUCGAAAGAUGGUUUCUUCGGAUACUCUUCAAGGUGCUGCAUGGUUGUCGUCAGCUCGUGCCGUGAGGUGUCGGGUUAAGUCCCAUAACGAGCGCAACCCUUACCGUUAGUUACCAUCAGGUUAAGCUGGGGACUCUAGCGGGACUGCCACCGUAAGGUGAGAGGAAGGUGGGGAUGACGUCAAAUCAGCACGGCCCUUAUGUCCAGGGCUACACACGUGUUACAAUGGCCAGUACAAAGGGCAGCUACCGGGUGACCGGAUGCUAAUCUCUAAAGCUGGUCUCAGUUCGGAUCGAAGUCUGCAACCCGACUUCGUGAAGCUGGAUUCGCUAGUAAUCGCGCAUCAGCCAUGGCGCGGUGAAUACGUUCCCGGGCCUU
rnacentral:rRNA from 1 species